AUCCCAUCGAAUCUUUGGACACAUGCAUGGAACAUUAAAUGUAGAUAAAAAACUAAACUAAUUACACAGUUUAGUUGAGAAUCGCGACACGAAUUUUUUAAGCCUAGUUACUCUAUGAUUAGCCUUAAGUGAUACAGUAACCCAUAUAUACUAAUGACAGAUUAAUUAUGCUUAAUAAAUUUGUCUUGCAGUUUCCUGACGAGCUAUGUAAUUUGUUUUUUUAUUAGUUUCAAAAAAACC
rnacentral:lncRNA from 1 species